rfam:Nicotiana attenuata strain TT scaffold02795, whole genome shotgun sequence.
AUGUUGAGGAUUGUAACAUGAAGCACUAGCCGUUGAAGAAAUUCCGGCUAGUGAUCAUGUUACAAUUCCCAUCAUU